UACAUGUGGGGCAAGCGUUGUCCGGAAUCACUGGGCGUAAAGGGCGCGUAGGUGGCGGCCCAAGUCCAUGGUGAAAGCUCGAUGCUCAACAUCGAGUCGGCCACGGAUACUGGGUUGCUCGAGCACUGUAGGGGCAGAUGGAAUUCCGGGUGUAGCGGUGGAAUGCGUAGAGAUCCGGAAGAACACCGGUGGCGAAGGCGGUCUGCUGGGCAGUUGCUGACACUGAGGCGCGACAGCGUGGGGAGCAAACAGG
rnacentral:rRNA from 1 species